rnacentral:rRNA from 1 species
GGGAACGGCAUUUGAUACUGGUUAACUAGAGUUUACUAGAGGGGAGUGGAAUUUCAGGUGUAGCGGUGAAAUGCGUAGAUAUCUGAAGGAACACCAGUGGCGAAGGCGACUCCCUGGAGUAAAACUGACGCUGAGGUACGAAAGCGUGGGUAGCAAACAGGAUUAGAUACCCUGGUAGUCCACGCUGUAAACGAUGUCAACUAGCCGUUGGUCCUAUAUACAGGAUUAGUGGCGCAGCUAACGCAUUAAGUUGACCGCCUGGGGAGUACGGCCGCAAGGUUAAAACUCAAAUGAAUUGACGGGGGCCCGCACAAGCGGUGGAGCAUGUGGUUUAAUUCGAUGCAACGCGAAGAACCUUACCUACCCUUGACAUCCAGAGAAUCUGUUAGAGAUAGUAGAGUGCCUUCGGGAACUCUGAGACAGGUGCUGCAUGGCUGUCGUCAGCUCGUGUCGUGAGAUGUUGGGUUAAGUCCCGUAACGAGCGCAACCCUUAUCCUUAGUUGCCAUCAUUUAGUUGGGCACUCUAAUGAGACUGCCGGUGACAAACCGGAGGAAGGUGGGGAUGACGUCAAGUCCUCAUGGCCCUUAUGGGUAGGGCUUCACACGUCAUACAAUGGUCGGUACAGAGGGUCGCCAACCCGCGAGGGGGAGCCAAUCUCACAAAGCCGAUCGUAGUCCGGAUUGGAGUCUGCAACUCGACUCCAUGAAGUCGGAAUCGCUAGUAAUCG